rnacentral:rRNA from 1 species
UACGGGGGGGGCGAGCGUUGUUCGGAAUUACUGGGCGUAAAGGGUGCGUAGGCGGCUUUCUAAGUCGGACGUGAAAUCCCUCGGCUUAACCGGGGAACUGCGUCCGAUACUGGAUGGCUUGAGUAUGGGAGAGGGAUGCGGAAUUCCAGGUGUAGCGGUGAAAUGCGUAGAUAUCUGGAGGAACACCGGUGGCGAAGGCGGCAUCCUGGACCAUUACUGACGCUGAGGAGCGAAAGCCAGGGGAGCAAACGGG